rnacentral:sRNA from 1 species
CUGGCUUUCCGCGGCUGCCCGCCUCGCGCGUCUUCCCCGCCCGCGUCUCCUCGCUGUCGCCGCCGCUGCCACACCAUGGCCUUCGUCACCAGGCAGUUAAUGCGUUCCGUGUCCUCCUCGUCCACCGCCUCGGCCUCGGCCAAGAAGAUAAUCGUCAAGCACGUGACGGUCAUCGGCGGCGGGCUGAUGGGCGCCGGCAUUGCCCAGGCUUCCUUGCUGUCCAAGUUGUGGUAUACUCCAGUGCAGCUGCCUGGCUUCCAAGAGAAACUUAGCACUUCUUGUUCUGUUUGUAGCCUCAAAUCAACAUGUAACCAAAAGCUGUGAAUGAAUAAUCCAAACUUGAAGGACCCCAGAUUUUAUUCAGGAGGAGUAACUGGAAGCCAUAACCAUGAACUUCCAUAUCUGUCAUAGGAAAGAGGUUGGCCUCAGCAACAAUGAGGGAUAAUUCUUUCAAGAAAGGAAUGAAGAGAGAAGUUAGAUGGAAAAGAGAUUUUUAAG